UAAGAAUUUAGCUUAAUAAAAGUGUUCGAUUUGCGUUCGAAUGAUGCAGGAUAGAGUCUUGUAAUUCUUA
rnacentral:tRNA from 1 species